rnacentral:tRNA from 1 species
GGGGACGUGGCGGAACGGUAGACGCGGCGGACUCAAACUCCGCUCAUGGAAACAUGGUGUGGGUUCGACUCCCACCGUCCCCA